UACGGGGGGGGCAAGCGUUGUUCGGAAUUAUUGGGCGUAAAGGGCUUGUAGGCUGCCAACUAAGUCGGACGUGAAAUCCCUCGGCUUAACCGGGGAACUGCGUCUGAUACUGGAUGGCUUGAGUUUGGGAGAGGGAUGCGGAAUUCCAGGUGUAGCGGUGAAAUGCGUAGAUAUCUGGAGGAACACCGGUGGCGAAGGCGGCAUCCUGGACCAGCACUGACGCUGAUGAGCGAAAGCCAGGGGAGCAAACGGG
rnacentral:rRNA from 1 species